rnacentral:lncRNA from 11 species
UCUGAGGCAACAGGGAGGGAUCGGCUGCUUUUAUUCCUGCCUAGGCCCCUCCCACAUGUUGAGACUGUUGUGGGACACCAGUCUUGUGAGACCUGCUGGUCUCUUCACCAGGGCUCCAAUUGCUUGCCCCUAACCAAAUCUUUUGGGUUUUGGCAAGGAAUGCAACAAAAUUGAGAUGGAGACUUUUUCACAAUCCCAGCGGAUUCCCCAUAGCUUCAUCCCAAGGAAACUGGGCUGUUUGAAAACCAGGAGUCUCCUCUUUACUGCUGAGCAAUUGUGGAGAGAUUCACAUUGUAGAGCUACAUUCAUCAGUCUGUGUGAAGGAAAAUAAUGGAAACCACAUUUUCUUUGACCAGAAGAGGACAUGCUGAUUCUAGUGGGUUGCAAGAUCUUCUCUGACUCUCUGCAAAGACCUGAAGUUCUAUAACAUUUCAGAAUUAUCAAUCCACAUCUUCUUUUCAAAAUAUAUAUUCAAUUAUUAACGAUCUCAUCCAUUUAGGAAAGUGUGGGUGUGAUAGGUAGCUCUACCCAUUUCAUCGUUUGGCCACAUAACUUUUCAUUAUUUGAGAGCUGCCUUGGAUCCAACUCUUGGAGAAAUAUGGCAUAUACUGUCUCACACACACACACAUAAAUUUACUUUCAUGGUGUCUGUUUGUUCCUAAAUUCUGGCACUCUCUUCCUAAGAAGACUGCUCUUCUUCCUGUCUUGUUUUCCUACCAGAUAAAAACUUUUCAAAUUCUGACUGGCUUUUGUUCAUAAGACAAGUGUUUUUUAACAGGUGCUGUCAAAUCUUUAUUGAACUUUGUAAUGAAUAUGUUUUAAAUUGAUCUACAUUCUAUAGGUCCUUUAACUGAAUUUUAACAAUAGCACAUUGGUGGAUAUUUUAUUUGUAUCUAGUUCAAUUUCUGUAGUUCAAUUGCCUUGAGUCCCAACUUUGGGAAAAAGACAGAAAAUAAAGAAAUAAAAUAAUUGUAAUACAGGUUGAGAACCCCUUAUCCAAAAUGUGUUGGAGCCAGACAAAUUAUUUACAUAUUUUAUCACGGCAGCUAGAAUAGAAUAUGCAAAAAAAUGGAAAAUUGAAGAAAUACCAGCUGAAGAAGUAUCAAGCUAUUCCAAUUAAAAAGAAUGGACUGGACAUGUGUUAGAGACUAUCUAAACUCAGACAAUAGAAAAAUGUUCAUUUGAAAUAAACUAUAAAUGGUAAAGAGUUUAACUAAAGAAGAAAGAUUAAAAAGGAUCUGAAGAAAUUGGAAGUCAACAACUACCCCUGUUUGUUUAUUCCUUUUUUCCCUUAUUUUAUUUUAUAUAUAUAUAUUUUACUU